rnacentral:rRNA from 1 species
UAAUGACUCUCGGCAACGGAUAUCUAGGCUCUUGCAUCGAUGAAGAACGUAGCGAAAUGCGAUACUUGGUGUGAAUUGCAGAAUCCCGUGAACCAUCGAGUCUUUGAACGCAAGUUGCGCCCGAAGCCAUUAGGCUGAGGGCACGUCUGCCUGGGCGUCACAUA